rnacentral:rRNA from 1 species
GUCAACGAUCAAAUCAUGCUGAAUGCACUGGUUCUCGUUCGAUCACCGAAGUUAAGUAGCAUUGGGCGCGGUUAAGUACUUGGAUGGGUGACCGCUUGGGAACACUUGCGUUAUUUAUU